rnacentral:rRNA from 1 species
UACGAAGGGGCUAGCGUUGCUCGGAAUCACUGGGCGUAAAGCGCACGUAGGCGGCUUCUAAGUCAGGGGUGAAAUCCUGGAGCUCAACUCCAGAACCUGCCUUUGAUACUGGAGUGCUUGAGUCCGGGAGAGGUGAGUGGAACUCCGAGUGGUAGAGGUGAAAUUCGUAGAUAUUCGCAAGAACACCAGUGGCGAAGGCGGCUCACUGGCCCGGUACUGACGCUGAGGUGCGAAAGCGUGGGGAGCAAACA